UUCGUCUCAAAAUUAUUGUUUAUUAAUCUUCAUCACCCCUUUGCCUGUUUUUUUUGCCCCAUGGGAGAAAUAUAUUCCGCCCCCCAAGUCCUUUUUUUCACAAAACUUCAUCUAAAAUUGUUGAAUGAUUUUCCUGUGAACAAUAGAUAUUAUAUUCCUUCUCUUUUAGCUUGGGGGUUAUUUUAGGCUAAGGGGUUAGGUUAAGGGGUUAGGUUAAGGGGUUAGGCUAAGGGGUUAGGCUAAGGGGUUAGGCUAAGGGGUUAGGCUAAGGGGUUAGGCUAAGGGGUUAGGUUAAGGGGUUAGGCUAAGGGGUUAGGUUAAGGGGUUAGGUUAAGGGGUUAGGAGUUAGGGGGUAGGAGUUAGGAGUUAAGGUUAGGAGUUAGGGGUAGGAGUUAGGGGUAGGAGUUAGGUUAGGAGUUAGGGGUUAGGAGUUAAGGUUAGGAGUUAGGAGUUAAGGUUAGGAGUUAGGAGUUGGGGUAGGAGUUAGGUUAGGAGUUAGGGGUUAGGAGUUAAGGUUAGGAGUUAGGGGUAGGAGUUGGGUUAGGAGUUAGGGGUUAGGAGUUAGGGGUAGGAGUUGGAUUAGGAGUUAGGGGUAGGUUUAGAGUUAGGCCACGGUUUAGGGGCUAGGGAAAAUAGGAUUUUGAAUGGAAAUCAAGUUUAGUGUGUGUGACAGAGUGAGAAAAAUAAAACCUGUAUCUGAUUAUAGGAAGGAAAACACCACAAGACACAUUACUACAGUAUAUACAUUAUUACUACAGUAUAUACAUUAUUACUACAGUAUAUACUUUAUUCCAGGCCAAUUGUAAAGUAUUACAGAAAGGGAUACAUAUGGAACAGAAUUUGUUUCUACAAUACAUGUACAUAUUAUCUCUGAAAAGAUUUAGAGAUCAUCGUUACUGAAUAUAAAUUCAUUUGUAGACGCCUGCAUUUAGACAAUACCUAAAUACCAAUCCUUUAAACGUGAGUGAUUAGUACUACGCAAACAGUCAACAGUUAACUAUAGUCUUAACAAAACUAGCUAAGAAUUAAAAAAUUAAAAAUUAAAUGAAAAAUUUAAAAAAAAAUCACACUUACAUGACAAAUACAUCAUUUAUUCAACCACCAACUUUAACAAGUUAAGUCACUGUAUUGUUCUCUUGUUCCGGAAGAAUCACGGAAUCAUGUCUGUUCUAUUCUAGAACUCCUAGAAUCCAUUUAGAAUCCUCAGUUUAGUUCAUCACAACGACGGUCUAGACACCUCUGUUACCGUGAAACCCUACCUUACUGACAUAUAUUCUCAUUAGCUUAUACAUACAUGUGUAUUAUAGUCAGACAGAUGGACAGAGGUUGAUAAUAACAAAUCAUUUUGUAGUUUUUUUUCGCCCGUGAAAUUAGAUUCAGUAUCAGUUGAAAGAAGAAUCACUAGAAGAAAUAAAAUAAUAAUAAUAAUAAUAAAAUAACUCUUUGGAAUCUGUCACAUCACAACAAUUCCUGACUGUAAAACCAUAGCUGGUUGUUUUUCCAUAAGGAGAAAUUCUGCCUGUACACCAACUAAAGCACACAUACUGUAACUCACAUUUUACCAUUGAUUCAAAUCAAAGUGUAACCUCUAACCUUACCUCUCUAGCCAUCAUGACAUGCUCUUCUAACCAAACAGGUCCUAACCACCAUCUUGUUUCAGCAGCAAAGCAGGUCUACAACUGGGCAGUAAGGGACAUCCAUAGACUGCCUUUCAGACACGGAGACAAUGGCCGGCUCCUAAAAUUCACCCUAUUCCCUAUAUAUAGCAGUGCACUGUGAAGGUAAUAGGGUGCCAUUCAGGAUGCAACUAUAUCAAACAAGCCAUUGUCUCCCUGUCUGAAAGGCAGUCUCCUAAAAUACACCCUAUUUCCUAUAUAUAGUAGUGCACUGUGUAGGGAAUAGGGUGCCAUUCAGGAUGCAGAUAUAUCAAACCAGCCCUUAUUGAUCCAAAGUGCCUAUUGUCCUUCUUUUAAGUUCGAUUUUUUUUUUUUUUUGGGGGGGGUAUUGAUUAGGAAUAUCUUAACGUAAUAGUGAACGAAUGAAAGCAGAGCGUGUGAUCGAUAAGGAUACAAUUACACCAAUAUUGAUCAAAUCGUUAAAAAUCCUCACCUGCUGAGAGACAACUUGUAACGCAACUAAAGUAAAACCAAGAAUCUGUUUGAUCUAUAAUACAUCAUGUAAUAACCUAAGAAACAUAGAAGAUUAUUAAAAGAUAAAAACAUCAGGCUGUAAUGUAAAGAAGAUUAAGAAAUACGAAAGAAAGAACACAGUCAUAGUAACACAUGUUUUUAUAAAAACCUUUAACAACAGAAAUAUACUUUCGAUUAUUAAACAUUAGGGUAAGUAAAGGAAAGUGUGGUUUGUCCGUCAAUAAUACAAUUUCUACGAUACAUCAUUAUUGCUUGACGUGACGAUACACACUACAAUACACUACAAUACACUACAAUACACUACAAUACACUACAAUACACUACAAUACACUAUAAUACACUACAAUACACUACAAUACACUACAAUACACUACAAUACACUACAAUACACUACAAUACACUAUAAUACACUACAAUACACUACAAUACACUACAAUACACUACAAUACACUACAAUACACUACAAUACACUAUAAUACACUACAAUACACUACAAUACACUACAAUACACUACAAUACAGAAAACUUGGCAUUCCUUUGUUUUUUCCCUCUUAUUCUCUCAAAACAAUACAACUGAAGGCACUUGAUUUGACAAUGAAAGGUUUAACUUCUAGACAUGCUGGCACAGCCAAGCAGCAGUAUGGUAUAGUAUACAAGGUACCCAACCCAGGCAACAGCCCAUCCCCCAUCACCACCACACAGUCCUAACUGGGACUCCAUCUUGUAUAACCUAGGCUGUGUCCCAAAUGGCACCCUAUUCCCUAUAUAGUACACUCUUUUUGACCAGUGGCCACAGAGCUCUGGUCAAAAGUAGUGCACUAUGUAGGGAAUCAGUGCCAUUUGGAAUGUAGCCCUAACUUAACCUAACUUAACCUAACCUAACUUAACCUAACCUAACUUAAACCUAACUUAAACUAACUUAAACCUAACUUAACCUAACCUAACUUAACCUAACUUAACCUAACCUAACUUAACUUAACCUAACCUAACUUAACUUAACCUAACCUAACUUAACUUAACCUAACCUAACUUAACCUAACCUAACCUAACUUAACCUAACCUAACCUAACCUAACUUAACUUAACCUAACCUAACUUAACCUAACCUAACCUAACUUAACCUAACCUAACCUUACCUAACUUAAUCUAACCUUCCAAAUCAGUAGUUCUUCCCCCAACUUCCGAUACAUCAUUUUUGGUUUCCCCAGGCUCAUCAUUAAAAACAACAUAUUAAAACUAUAAAAAUGUAAAAGACAUAAGAAUAAAAUUAUUUUAAAAAGGCCAGGAAGCAGGAAGCAUAUGAUGUUCACACAUUUUCCAAAGACACUUUUAAUGAGAUGGCAGGAAGCAGGAGUCGUUCCAAACAGCUAAGAAGGUUCAGCUGCUGCUGCUUCUCACUGUGUUGUGGACUAGACAGUCUCUCCAGAGUUGUGUUGUGGACUAGGCAGUCUCUCCAGAGUUGUGUUAUGGACUAGACAGUCUCUCCAGAGUUGUGUUGUGGACUAGACAGUCUCUCCAGAGUUGUGUUGUGGACUAGACAGUCUCUCCAGAGUUGUGUUGUGGACUAGACGGUCUCUCCAGAGUUGUGUUGUGGACUAGACAGUCUCUCCAGAGUUGUGUUGUGGACUAGACAGUCUCUCCAGAGUUGUGUUGUGGACUAGACAGUCUCUCCAGAGUUGUGUUGUGGACUAGACAGUCUCUCCAGAGUUGUGUUGUGGACUAGACAGUCUCUCCAGAGUUGUGUUGUGGACUAGACGGUCUCUCCAGAGUUGUGUUGUGGACUAGACAGUCUCUCCAGAGUUGUGUUGUGGACUAGACAGUCUCUCCAGAGUUGUGUUGUGGACUAGACAGUCUCUCCAGAGUUGUGUUGUGGACUAGACGGUCUCUCCAGAGUUGUGUUGUAGACUAGACGGUCUCUCCAGAGUUGUGUUGUGGACUAGACAGUCUCUCCAGAGUUGUGUUGUGGACUAGACGGUCUCUCCAGAGUUGUGUUGUGGACUAGACAGUCUCUCCAGAGUUGUGUUGUGGACUAGACAGUCUCUCCAGAGUUGUGUUGUGGACUAGACAGUCUCU
rnacentral:lncRNA from 1 species